rnacentral:lncRNA from 1 species
CUGUGACCUGGGAGAGCAUCUUCUCCUCUCUGGCCGUGAUGGUAAGGAACAGCCCAUUCCUGAGAGCUUCCUCUGUUGGGCAUGUAAAGAUGAAAGGGAGAUCACCUCUUGCAAGGGGCAGGUUGAUAGCGGUGGAGAAAGGUGAGGUGGGAGUUGAUGGCUGAAAGGUAAGCUGAGGCUAAUGCCCAUAGGAGAGCAGCCCACUUGUAUUUGCUUAAAGCAAAAGGUGUAAGCCAAUGCCACGCUAGCCUGAAAACAAAAGCAGCCUUUUGGCCCAAGAGAGUGUACUGCGUCAGUUUCCUAGCUCUCCUGGACGUGAGGUUUCACGCCUCCAUUGCGGUGGGAGCUGUGAUGGGACUUGCAGUGUCUCUGGCUUCCCCAGAAUUACUUUCUGCAGGCUGGUUGGCAGGUCCUGGCAUUUGUGGAAAGCCAAGAACACGUCUGUGUCCAGUUUCCUCCCCGGCUCCUGCCUGUCAGAGACGUCUGUGACAGCUUUCUUUCUCCUCUAAGGAGGAGGCAUGCAGUAGCGCGGCUGGGCUUAGUGGAUGGGAUGUGACAGGAGCAGCGGCUGAAGCAGGACUUGAAUCAGGAGCUCAGCUAACCGCUGGCACUUGUUCCGUAGUCCCCCAGGUCCUGCAGAGCUGCGCUGAGUUCAUUGAGCAGCACGGCGUGGUGCAGGGGAUCUACCGCCUGUCCGGCGUGGCGUCCAAGAUCCAGAAGCUACGGUAAGAGUGCUGCGACUGACACAGCUGUCAGUAGGGGCACGUGCCAUGCUGCGGGCGUUCCGAGGCCUGCGCUGUGGGGCAGCUGUGUGCAGGCAGCGUGCGCUCAGCGGUGGUGCGCCAGGCUUGUGUCUGUUUGAUAGGAACACGGGGCGUUGAGUAGACUUGCUGGGGCAGGAAGUUCUCCUUCAGUCCUUGAGAGCAUUGGAAGGCUGUG